rnacentral:rRNA from 1 species
UACGUAGGGUGCAAGCGUUGUCCGGAUUUAUUGGGCGUAAAGAGCGUGUAGGCGGCCAGGUAGGUCAGCUGUGAAAACUCGAGGCUCAACCUCGAGAUGUCGGCGGAAACUGUCUGGCUAGAGUCCGGAAGAGGAGAGUGGAAUUCCUGGUGUAGCGGUGAAAUGCGCAGAUAUCAGGAGGAACACCGGUGGCGAAGGCGGUUCUCUGGGCCUUACCUGACGCUGAGGAGCGAAAGCGUGGGGAGCAAACAGG